GAGAAGGAGGGUGGUCUGGCUGGUCCACCUGGUGUCUGAGGUGGGUGCCCUUGUCCUCCCUCAUUGCUCCAUGUGUAUCUCACUAGAAGAACUGGUUUGUCCAAGAGGAUGGCCUUCUGAUAGCUAGAGGAGGACUGCUCUUGGUCAAGGAUGUAGGAGAGUGGCUGCACUUCCUGCCAGAACCUCUCAACAUGCUCCCAGGAACGCUAAAGGAGGGGAUGAUGUCAAAGAGAAAUAUUUUUCUUU
rnacentral:snRNA from 1 species